rnacentral:rRNA from 1 species
CGAACGGCUGAGGAACACGUACGAAUCUGCCCUCCGGUGGGGAAUAACGCAGCGAAAGCUGUGCUAAUACCGCGUACGCGCGCAAGCGGAAAGUCGCAAGGCGCCGGGGAGGAGCGUGCGGCCCAUCAGAUGGUUGGCGGGGUAAUGGCCCACCAAGUCGAUGACGGGUCGCUGGUCUGUGAGGACGAUCAGCCAGACUGGGACUGCGACACGGCCCAG